GGGGUUCAUGGCCUCGAGACUGGUUAGGGAGCUUCCUUUUCUAGGAUGCUACCAGGGCUCGGGCAGAAGGUUCCUUUUCAAAGGACACGUGACAUAACCAUGUGGGGCUUGGGUCACUAGACAGCAGAGUUUUCUGUUGUUUGUUUCUCUUGGGAAACAGGCUUCUUUUCUUACGUUUUCAACUGCAGAAUAAAGUUGACACGGUUUUGGGCAGGCUAGGGCUAGCAUUCUGCUGCUGAGCCCUUGCACAGCAAUGGGAAGGAUCCAGAUUCUGGAACAAAGGAUAAAGUACAUUCCACCAGAAAUGGGACAAAGAGAAGAAAGCACACUGCUGCUGCUCCAGAGGACCUGAGUUGAGCUCCCAGCACCAACACUGAACACAGAUGUCAGAAACUCAAGUUCCAGGGAUCCAACACCCUCUUCUGGUCUCUAUGGGCAUUUCCAUGCAACAUGAACAUGGUGACACAGACCAGUAACUCCAGCACUCGGGAUGGAAGACCAGCAGCUACAUGACUCACCACACAGAGCCCACUGUGCUGCCCGACCGCAGAGCAGCCCACUCCAGGCUCACUCCUUAGAUGGUCUGCAGCUCUCAACUGAAUUCUUCCCUUUAGGAAGGCAAGAAUGGAGAGACUUCCCUUAACUUCUCCACACUGGGAAACUCACCCAGCACUCUGCUCACCACCUGGUGUGGAUCAUGAAUGUAAGGAGCAGCCAGCGAUGGCGCAGGGCUGGCUACAUGUCCUGUGACUGGGAUCCCUCAGUGCACACCUGUCACUCACACACAGCCUGUGUGAGCAGGACAAGACCUAUGUGGUGGUUCAUUUUCACCGUCAGUUUGACUGGAAACACCUCCAUAUGCCUCUGAGGGUGUUUCUAGAAAGGUGGCACCAUCCCAUUUGCUGGGAUCCUAAACAGAGUAAAAAGGGGAAAGCAAAAUGAGGGAGCACCCACACUCAUCUGUUUCUGGUGUGUGGGAGCCAGGUGACCAGCUGCCUCCAUGACUAACCACGACCGACUGUCCCCUCAAACCGUGACCCUCACUUGGUUUUAUCAGCUUAUACACAACAGCAAGCAGAAAAGUAACUAAUCCAGCACUGGAGCAGCUCCUAGGAGACAGAGGCAGCUGGCCACACACAGCAAGGGGCCAACACGUCCGUAGUCCUGUGGCUCAAACUCACAGCCAGAGAAGGGAGGGCCAUCCCCCAGGACCAUGCUCAGGGAUCCAAAAUGCCCUUCCUUCCCUGCCAAGUCUCUUCUGGGGUUUCAAGAAAGAAGGGGUAGGGAACCACAAAAUCAUAGGACUCUAUUGGCAGGAUUGCCUUUUGUCCAUGGACAAGCUCCAUGUCCUACAUUAUAUCCUGAAACAGGAGGUACAGGGCACCAUUACCCCAAACUCAUAUAUAACACCCCAGCAGCCAAGAGAACUGCGGCCCAAGCACUGAGGCCAGUUAGAUGCAAGCCUCAAGUCUUUGUGUUUCCAGGGUCUGGGCCAGAGGAGCUGGGGUGCAAGAGUGGGUCAGCCAAUCGUCUGUCCCCAAGAAUCCUCACCACCAGAGAAUCUCAAAGCAGAGCAGGGACCUCUGACUGAGAUAUCUUUGGAAAGAACUGCCACGCCAGGUGUGGGAGCAAACGCCUUUAAUUCGAGCACUUUGAAGGCAGAGGCAGGCAGUGGAUCUCUGAGUCAGAGGCCAGUCUGGUCUACAGAGCAAGUUCCAGUAUAGCCAGGGCUACAAAGAGAAACCCUGUCUCAAAACAAAAUAAACUCUAACUGCCAAAGAGCAGCAGGGCCUGGGCACUGCACUGAGGACGGGAGCUGGGAGUCCUCAGCUCUAAGCGCUCCAGGAUCGUCGGUUUCCUUUUCCUGUCUAGGCCCCAAAGACUCUCAUUCUGCUAACCCCCACACCCAUCCAUGCCCCAGUCAGGAAGACUAUUAACAUGGUCCCGGGUGGACCUGGAGACAUGCUGGCAAGAGUGGGUUCUUUGCCCCUUCUAUCACCAGGGUGACCACCCAGGAAUAGUUAUGUCCGCAAGCCCCUAGGAACACAAAAGGCUCAAGAUGCUACAGAAAAGAUUAAGUUAACUUGGAAAAAACAUGUUUUUCCAAUCAGCUAUAAAACCACCCAUGCCAGAAUUUUUGCAGAUCUAGAUGGCCACUUUGCCAUUACCCAAAAUUCCUCUCGUUCUUUCUUUCUCCACAAAUAAUUUCCCAAGGCUUUCAGGGCACCAGCACGAGAGGCCCACAGUGUGGGACGAACGGGACCCAGUGCUCCCAUCAGAAAGCUAGAGACUAAUGUUUCUUCUCCCAGCAACCCUGAAGUAGGAGGCGGGCACCAUGCUAGCUGCAUUCUCCAGUCCACCUCAGGAAGACCUCAUCUAUGCGCACAAUAGCACUGAUGUUUGAACUGGAUACGUGUUUUAUUACACACUCACUUUUGUGAAAAGGCCUUUACUUGUUGACAUUUCUUUCCUGAGCCAAGUCUGGGGCAGCCUGCCAGAGGGAAAGGCCAAGAUCCUGGAGGAGCCAUGGAGCUCGCUGGCCUUAAAGGGCCACACUACCAACCAAGCUAUAACAUGUAGAAAAGCAGAGCUGCUCCCGCCCACGACAGGUGAACAGGAUUCAUGCCCUAGCCAGUGCGCUGACACCAGGGUGAGUCUAAGCUGAGGACGAGCUCACAG